CUUUUCUUUUUUUUUUUUCUUUUUCCUCUUUUUUUUUUUUUUUUUUUUGUAAAUCAAGGGGAAAGCAGCCAAACUAAAAAUGAGUUAUUCAUAAACAAAUAGGAGGGUCAGAAGUUCAAGGUCAUCCUCAGCUACACAGCUGGAGGCAGCUGGACGAUGCGAGACAUCGGAAAGGUUUUCCCGCUCACACUGACCCUUCCUAGCUGCUGCUGGUGUUCCGGGGUGGCACCGAGCAGAGGAAAAACAGGAAAGGCUUUGGAGCCGGAGGGCCCUGAGUGCAAGGUGCCUGCCUGCCACAUGACUCUGGGACUAGUCCCUCUCUCAGCCUAGCAAGACAACAUUGCCUCUCAGGUCACCACGAGGAUUCUGGGACAUCUCUGGAAAGACGAUAGCACACAGUGUUUGAGGACUGUUCUCACCUGCUCCAGCCACUCACCCUUGUUCCUUCCUAGUCUUAUGGGAAACCAGAGGAGGGACAUUUGCCCUUCUAAGGACAUUGGUGUGUAGAACUUACUAAAUAUGUAUGAAAUGCACUUGUAAUUUAUUCCUCCACUAUUUCCAUAAAAAUAUAUUAUCU
rnacentral:lncRNA from 1 species